rnacentral:rRNA from 1 species
UACGGGGGGAGCAAGCGUUGUUCGGAUUUACUGGGCGUAAAGGGCGCGUAGGCGGCCAGCACAAGUCGGUUGUGAAAUCUCCGGGCUUAACUCGGAAAGGUCAACCGAUACUGUGCGGCUAGAGUGCGGAAGGGGCAACUGGAAUUCUCGGUGUAGCGGUGAAAUGCGUAGAUAUCGAGAGGAACACCUGCGGCGAAGGCAGCCCCCUGGGCUAACACUGACGCUCAGGCACGAAAGCGUGGGGAGCAAACAGG